UUUACUCACUUUAGUAUGAUCUUUCUAGCUGCAUGUGGUGAUAUUUUUUUUGCACCUCCUUGCCUAGUUUUAAAAUUCGUCUAUAAUGGGAAUUAGUCUAUUGAUAGGCGUUCCGAGUUUCCUAUUUUAAAGUCUUUUCCGCGAAGACGCGAAAGUCUAACCAUUUACUGAUGUCAAUGUAAAGUAACUCUUUCUCCUCAAUUAUUUGAAGACCUUGAGUAAAGGUCUCUUCAGUUCGG